rnacentral:rRNA from 1 species
CCCUUAGAUGUUCUGGGCCGCACGCGCGCUACACUGACGAAUUCAACGAGCUUAUAACCUUGGCCGAAAGGUCUAGGUAAUCUCCAAAAUUCGUCGUGAUGGGGAUAGAUUAUUGCAAUUAUUAAUCUUCAACGAGGAAUGCCUAGUAGGCGCAAGUCAUCAGCUUGCGUCGAUUACGUCCCUGCCCUUUGUACACACCGCCCGUCGCUCCUACCGAUUGGGUGUGCUGGUGAAAUGUUCGGAUCGGCCGUUUGUCGCGGUUUCCGCGUCAUGUGGCUGAGAAGUUCAUUAAACCCUCCCACCUAGAGGAAGGAGAAGUCGUAACA